GGGGGCAGCUAGGUCCUGGUGGGUCUCCUGGACUUCAAAUCCAGUGGCGGGCGGCGUUCCCGUCCGCGGUGGGUUCGAUUCCCACAUGCUCCCGCCA
rnacentral:tRNA from 1 species